CAAAGAACUUUGAAGAGAGAGUUCAAGAGGACGUGAAACCGUUUAGAAGGAAACGGAUAGAGCUGCGAAAUGCUCGAUCGAUUCAGGCGUCGCGACGGCGUGUGCACUGGCUGACUGAUCGCAAGACUGUCGGCUGGCUGUUUCGUGCUGUUGUGGCGUUGCAUUUUGGUCGAGUAGCACUAGCAGCGUUGGCGUUCCGGUGCUGUACGGUCUGGUUGAAGAUGCCGCUUCGGUGGUUGUCGGCCUGCCGUGUAGCUGCUUGUGAGCGUCAACGUCAAAGCUGCAAAGGCGUACGUGCGGUACGUGCCUGCGGCUGGUGCGCAUAGCGGGACAUGCUUGCAUGAAGCGUUGUGUGUGCUGGUUGUCGGGUGCGGUCUGCUCACUUUGCGCGUGCUGGUGAACAAGUCAGUCACCUAUCCGACCCGUCUUGAAACACGGACCAAGGAGUCUAACAUGUAUGCGAGUCGAAGGGUGUUUAAAACCUGAAGGCGCAAUGAAAGUAAAGCUUAACGAUACAGGAUUCAGUUCACGCUGACGCACUGUAGCCCCGUUCUAUUCGCACAUCGAAGGAGCGGCGGAAGAGCAUACACGUUGGGACCCGAAAGAUGGUGAACUAUGCCUGAGCAGGGCGAAGCCAGAGGAAACUCUGGUGGAGGCUCGAAACGGUUCUGACGUGCAAAUCGAUCGUCAGACUUGGGUAUAGGGGCGAAAGACUAAUCGAACCAUC
rnacentral:rRNA from 1 species